rnacentral:rRNA from 1 species
UACGUAGGGGGCAAGCGUUGUCCGGAUUUAUUGGGCGUAAAGGGCGCGUAGGCGGCCACGCACGUCCGUUGUGAAAUCGCCCGGCUCAACUGGGCGGGGUCAGCGGAUACUGUGUGGCUCGAGCAAGCUAGGGGGCAAUGGAAUUCCCGGUGUAGUGGUGGAAUGCGUAGAUAUCGGGAGGAACACCAGUGGCGAAGGCGGUUGCCUGGAGCUUUGCUGACGCUGAGGCGCGAAAGCGUGGGGAGCGAUCCGG